rnacentral:rRNA from 1 species
AUUGAACGCUGGCGGCAGGCCUAACACAUGCAAGUCGAGCGAGCGGCGGACGGGUGAUUAAUGCUUGGAAAUUGCCCGGUCGAGGGGACUAACAGUUGGAAACGACUGCUAUUCCGUCAUACGUUUGGUUUUCCCAGGGGGGAUUAGCUAGUUGGUGGGGUACUGGCUCACCAAGGCGACGAUCCCUAGCUGGUCUGAGAGGUUGAUCAGCCACACUGGAACGGAGACACGGUCCAGACUCCUACGGGAGGCAGCAGUGGGGAAUAUUGCACAAUGGGGGAAACCCUGAUGCAGCCAUGCCGCGUGUGUGAAGAAGGCCUUCGGGUUGUAAAGCACUUUCGGCGGGGAGGCGUUACUCGCAGAAGAAGCACCGGCUAACUCCGUGCCAGCAGCCGCGGUAAUUC